rnacentral:rRNA from 1 species
AGGACGAACGCUGGCGGCGCGCUUAACACAUGCAAGUCGAGCGAGAACCGGGGCUUCGGCCCUGGGGACAGCGGCGAACGGGUGAGUAACACGUGGGUAAUCAACCCUCGGCACCGGGAUGGCCCGAGGAAACUCGGAUUAAUACCGGAUAGCCCCUCCGACUCUCGAGUCGGUCGGGAAAGGUAGCUUAGGCCUCUGGCCGGGGACGAGCCCGCGGCGGAUUAGCUUGUUGGUGGGGUAAUGGCCUACCAAGGCGACGACCCGUAGCUGGUCUGAGAGGACGAUCAGCCACACUGGGACUGAGACACGGCCCAGACUCCUACGGGAGGCAGCAGUGGGGAAUCUUGCACAAUGGGCGAAAGCCUGAUGCAGCAACGCCGCGUGCGGGAAGAAGGCCCUCGGGUUGUAAACCGCUUUCAGAAGGAACGAAACUGACGGUACUUUCAGAAGAAGGUGCGGCCAACUACGUGCCAGCAGCCGC